rnacentral:tRNA from 1 species
ACAGUGGUAGCUCGGUCGGUAGAGCAUCUGCCUGGUGUGCGGAGGGUCGCCGGUUCGAUCCCGGCCCGCAGCG